CAGAGCUCCCUGGAGAUGAACCCAACUGCGCAGAGGAGUCUGUCCGUGUUCACCUGUCGGGUUGUGCACAGUUCCCAGCCCCCCGUCAGGGCCACUGGCUGUUCUCCAGCCCAGCUCUCUGGAUCGGGCUCUUCCUGGAGAAGGUGCUGACUGCCGCCUUCCUCCUCUUCCUCUUCCUGAGAGGAAGGGGGCCGCGAACCCCACGUCUGUUUCCUGGUUUUCUUGCACCCUUGGCGGCCUGCCAACUUCUCUGUCUGCGCCUCCGUCCCCGCAGUCUGGGAAAUGAGUUCGUGGAUGGGGCUGCAGUGACCCCCGCUGGCCAGGCCAAUGGAGCCCAGGUCUGAUGUACCAAACUCACCCACCUCCUGAUGGAGCAGCCGACAGGGAAUCCCUGACCUGGCUCCCUGCCCCCUUCAUCCUGUCUCUCUGCGCUGUAUGCAUUGACCUGCGCUUCGGGGAGCAGAGCUCGAACAGGGGGUACAAGGCACAGGAUUCUGGUGUAACACACGGCGUGUCUGUGAGACCCAGUGGCCCCGGAGCAGCUCCCCUGAGUCCUGUGGGUUCGACGCUGAGGCUCAGACUCUUGCUCCCUGGGCUGGCAGGAGCUGGGCGUUUUGCAGAUGUGACACUGUGACUUGUAGGAGAGAACCAGUCUAGUGGGUCUGCCCUGGCCCAGUGAUGGAGCAGCCUGAUUAAACCCUAUUCUCCUCCUGCAGGAGGCCUCUGGGCCUGACUGUGAGAUGGGAGGGAGGAGAAGACACAGUGGUAAAUGGAAGCCGAGGUACGAUGAAAAUGAAACGAUUCGCAGCACCCCUGUUCCUUCCUGUUAAGCACCCGCCUUCUGCUCUGGGCAAGGUUGGAUCCUGUAGUUACCCUGCUGGUCUGUGCUCUGGGACACGGAGGCGAUGGGAGCAGGGAGCCCCGACCAUCUGUAGUGCUGGCUUAUGCCUUUCUUGUGAUGCUGGACUCCGGCUGGAGCCUCCUGCCUCUGCUCAGCUGUGAGGAGGCAGGAGAAAUUUGUGUAACAACACAACCUGCCUCCCUUUAGUGGCACCCAGGGGCAGCUGUUGGCAGAGGGAGGCCUGGCAGUGGGGGCCAUUGGAGUCACCCUGCCAGGGAGCUGGAGGGAGCCGUGAAGGGCACCAGAGCUGGUGCAGCCGUACAGAGCUUUCCGGCUGAUGGCCCUGGCUUCUGGUGGGCACUGUGAGCUCCACAAUGUCUGGGGCCAGACCCACUGCUGCUUCCAUGGGGGGCAAAGGCCACUCUUUCCUCUGGCCCCGACAGAAG